CAUUGACUUAAGUUGUAUGACAACUUAAUGAAUAAUGAUUCACAAAGGCCCAAAUAGCCAAAUAAUACCCUAAGGCCGGCCAUUUAGAGGAAGGGUAGUGAACUUGCUUUAAUUACAAGUUUGCCACUCCAAUGAAUAAAGGUAUAAAUAUGACUUUAUAGCCAAAAUUCAUUUAGGGUUUUUUUGAGGAAAUUGGAGAGAACACAAAGCUCUCCUUUCUCUCUAAAGAGGCCGGCCACCCUUGGAGGGAUUAGCUAGUAAUCUUUCUCCUCCAAGAUCACUCAUCUCUUCUUCACAUCUUACCUUGGUGUGGAGACUUAGAGGUUCUCAAUUUUGGGAACUUGGAGAAACCUAUUCUUCCAUCCAAAUCCAUGGAUCUAAGAAGCAAGGAAUGAAGGCCCUAUCUCUUGGGUGAUUAUCCUUUGCUUUUGCAAAGAGGAAUCUACAAAGGUAUAAAUUUCUCAACUCACUUUCUUUUAAGUUGAGUCUUGGUUCACCUAACUACUAGGCUUUGAAUUUAAUGGGUAAUGUUUUGUUUUUGAGUGCAUGCAAGCAUGAUUCCGCCUUUAAUUUGUUAAUUACAUGCUAUAGAUGUUGCUCAAAUGAACAUGUUUUUAACAAAAUUUCCUUCAAGUGGUAUCAGAGCCUAGGUCUAGUAGUUGGUGAAUCCUUUUGGGUUUUGUAGUUCAUAGUCUUUGAUUUGAAUGUUGUAAUUGUUACAAGCUUUAUUCUUGCUUCUUUGAAUGUAAAUUUUGUUAGAAAAUUUGCCAUCUCAAAUGUUGUAGAUGUAGUUCAUAUGAGCAUGAAUAUUGGAGCUAAAAUUUUGCGCCAUGUUUUUGGGAAAAUUCGGCCAAAUCCAAAGGGUGGAUUUUUGGGUUCAUGUUUGACUUGUUAAAAGUGUUUUCAAGUAACUUUUGGAACCCCUAUGUACCUUAGUUUGGUUAUAUGUUAUUUCCCUUAAGUUUGAGUGGUUUUGGGAUGUCUUUGGGUGAAAAAUGUUCAUGGAGAUUUUUGAGUUUUUCAUGAAUGUUCUUCAUUGUUCUUGAUAUUUUAGCCAAGAACAAAAAGUUUGGUGUUUUGAUUUAUUUCAUAAAGUUUUUGUUUUGUGCUUUUCAAAUGUUUAAAUGUGUUAGAUAUUUAUUUUGAAAGGUGAAAGAAAUAUUGAUGGGUGUGUAAGGAUUAAUUCCCUUUCACACACACCACUUGCAUGACUUUUGUGUCAUGCACCUCUUGCAUGACU
rnacentral:lncRNA from 1 species